rnacentral:rRNA from 1 species
ACGGCUCAGUAACACGUGGAUAACAUGCCCUAAGGUGGGGGAUAAUCUCGGGAAACUGAGGAUAAUACCCCAUAGGUCUUCUCUGCUGGAAUGCUUGAAGGCCGAAAACUCCGGUGCCUUAGGAUUGGUCUGCGGCCUAUCAGGUUGUAGUGGGUGUAAUGGACCCACUAGCCCGUGACGGGUAUGGGCCUUGAGAGAGGGAGCCCAGAGAUGGACUCUGAGACAUGAGUCCAGGCCCUACGGGGCGCAGCAGUCGCGAAAACUUCGCAAUGGGGCAACCCCGACGAGGGAAUUCCAAGUGCCAGCACUUUGUGUUGGCUGUUCUCCUGUCUAAAAAACAGGAGGAGUAAGGGGCGGGUAAGACGGGUGCCAGCCGCCGCGGUAAUACCCGCGCCCCUAGUGGUGGUCGAUAUUAUUGAGCCUAAAACGUCCGUAGCCGGUCUUUUAAAUCUUUGGGCAAAUCGGGCAGCUUAACUGUCCGACUUCCGAGGAGACUGGAAGACUUGGGACCGGGAGAGGUCAGAGGUACUUCUGGGGUAGGGGUAAAAUCCUGUAAUCCUGGAAGGACCACCGGUGGCGAAGGCGUCUGACUAGAACGGAUCCGACGGUGAGGGACGAAGCCCUGGGGCGCAAACGGGAUUAGAUACCCCGGUAGUCCAGGGUGUAAACGCUGCGGGCUUGGUGUUGGGGGUCCUUCGUGGGCGCCCAGUGCCGGAGAGAAGUUGUUAAGCCUGCUGCUUGGGGAGUAUGUCCGCAAGGAUGAAACUUAAAGGAAUUGGCGGGGGAG